AUCUAAGGCCACACCACCCUGAAAGCACCUGAUCUCAUCUGAUCUUGGAAGCUAAGCUGGGUCAUGCUCCUUUGAUUGGGAGCCAUAGGCU
rnacentral:rRNA from 1 species